rnacentral:rRNA from 1 species
AUUGAACGCUGGCGGAAUGCUUUACACAUGCAAGUCGAACGGCAGCACGGGGGCAACCCUGGUGGCGAGUGGCGAACGGGUGAGUAAUACAUCGGAACGUGCCCGGUCGUGGGGGAUAACGUAGCGAAAGUUACGCUAAUACCGCAUACGAUCUGAGGAUGAAAGCGGGGGACCUUCGGGCCUCGCGCGAUCGGAGCGGCCGAUGUCAGAUUAGGUAGUUGGUGGGGUAAAGGCCUACCAAGCCGACGAUCUGUAGCUGGUCUGAGAGGACGACCAGCCACACUGGGACUGAGACACGGCCCAGACUCCUACGGGAGGCAGCAGUGGGGAAUUUUGGACAAUGGGCGCAAGCCCGAUCCAGCCAUUCCGCGUGCAGGACGAAGGCCUUCGGGUUGUAAACUGCUUUUGUAUGGAACGAAAAGGCUCUGGCUAAUACCUGGGGCUCAUGACGGUACCGUAAGAAUAAGCACCGGCUAACUACGUG